AACGAACGCUGGCGGCAUGCCUAACACAUGCAAGUCGAACGAGACCUUCGGGUCUAGUGGCGCACGGGUGCGUAACGCGUGGGAACCUGCCCUUAGGUUCGGAAUAACUCCCCGAAAGGGGUGCUAAUACCGGAUAAUGUCUUCGGACCAAAGAUUUAUCGCCUUUGGAUGGGCCCGCGUUGGAUUAGCUAGUUGGUAGGGUAAAAGCCUACCAAGGCGACGAUCCAUAGCUGGUCUGAGAGGAUGAUCAGCCACACUGGGACUGAGACACGGCCCAGAAUUCGAAGGGGGGGAAGAGGGGGGAAAAUAGGAAAAGGGGGGGAAACCUGGUCCAGAAAGGGCGGGGGGGGGAUGGAGGCCUUAGGGGUGAAAAAGGCUUUUACCCGGGAUGAAAAAGGCAGUACCGGGAAAAAAAGCCCCCGCAAACCCCG
rnacentral:rRNA from 1 species